rnacentral:rRNA from 1 species
GAGUUUGAUCCUGGCUCAGAAUCAACGCUGGCGGCGUGCCUAACACAUGCAAGUCGAACGCGAAAGGGGCUUCGGCCCUGAGUAGAGUGGCGUCCGGGUGAGUAACGCGUGGGUAAUCUACCUUCGGGUGGGGAAUAACCCAGGGAAACUUGGGCUAAUACCGCAUAAUGCAGCGGCUCGACAUCGAGACAGUUGUUAAAGCUCUUCGCAAGAAGGGCGCCUGAAGAGGAGCCUGCGUCCGAUUAGCUGGUUGGCGGGGUAACGGCCCACCAAGGCUACGAUCGGUAGCUGGUCUGAGAGGACGGCCAGCCACAAUGGAACUGAGACACGGUCCAGACUCCUACGGGAGGCAGCAGUGGGGAAUAUUGGACAAUGGGCGCAAGCCUGAUCCAGCCAUGCCGCGUGUGUGAAGAAGGCCUUCGGGUUGUAAAGCACUUUUGUCCGGGAAGAAAAGCCAGGGAUUAAUACCCCCGGGUUCUGACGGUACCGGAAGAAUAAGCACCGGCUAACUUCGUGCCAGCAGCCGCGGUAAUACGAAGGGUGCAAGCGUUACUCGGAAUUACUGGGCGUAAAGCGUGCGUAGGUGGUUCGUUAAGUCUGCCGUGAAAGCCCCGGGCUCAACCUGGGAAUGGCGGUGGAUACUGGCGGACUAGAGUGCGGUAGAGGGUGGUGGAAUUCCCGGUGUAGCAGUGAAAUGCGUAGAGAUCGGGAGGAACAUCUGUGGCGAAGCGGCCACCUGGACCAGCACUGACACUGAGGCACGAAAGCGUGGGGAGCAAACAGGAUUAGAUACCCUGGUA